GGAACAUAGCUCAGUGGGAGAGCAUCUGCUUUAUAUACAGAAGGUCCCAGAUUUAAUCCCUAGUAUCUCCA